rnacentral:snoRNA from 1 species
AACCCAUGGUGAGGGCAUCUUUGCUAAAGGUCCUUGUAUCUCUCACAUGCAUCGUAGAGUGUUUAUAAAUCCAUCUGCAUAAAAGAAGAGAUAUCAUUACGUAAUUU